rnacentral:lncRNA from 1 species
CCUGCUCUGUGUCCAGCUGGCUCUUUCCUCACAGGGGUGUUUUGCUGGUGGACCGGCCAGUCCCAGCUGCGGUCAGACUGGUGGACAAGCUCCGUAGAUGCCCAGAAUGUCCCGCCGGUGUGAACGAGUGGGUGUUUUUCUCUGGGUGCCCCUGCGAGACAUCGACCUGAAGCCACGCCGGACGUGUGCGCCUCCGUCGCUUCUCCAGACGCUCAGGAGCUCUUCAGGAAGAGAGCCGGCAGAGGUCUGAAGUGGAUCUCCUGGACUCCCCCCUGACCGGUCUGCUGCCAGUCCUGGCCUGGACUCUGGGAUUCGCUGUGGGAGGUGAGUCUUGGAUCAGGAGUUGAGCCAGCAGUGACCGUUCAGACCCAGCAGAAUUCUCCAUGCAUAAUAUGUAUAAUAAUAUAAUAAGACUGUAUAAUAUGUACAUGGCGCGCUCCAGUGUGUUUUUUUAAUAUUCCGUUGCAGGACUGCACUACCGUAGAAAACCACCAGGUGGCGCAGUGAAGCAUCUGGGCUGCACCUGGGAACACCUGGUUUCUCAUCCCGUGACGACUCUACGAGUGGGAGCAGUGACGCUGCGUCUUGGGCUGAAGUCGGGUUUGUCAGUGUUGUCAGCAGAGAUCCGGAGCUCAUCGCAGACACCCUUGUCUCCGGACUCGGGGAGAAGCGAUUCGGCUGGCAUCUCCUGCCCUCGCCGUCAGCUUCUCCUGCUUCCUCCUGCUUGCCAGCGUCACUGUGCAGAGUUAAAGUUUCGAAGAGGGUAGAGAGGAGGAGAGGGGGUAGCUGAUGGGUUUCGAGAUGUGGUCUUACGUGAUGCCGGCACCUGGUGUUCGAAGUAGGAGCUGCAUUUUUUACUUACUAUCGGGCUGAAUCUGAUUAUAGUUCUGAAUGAACUCGUGGGCCGUUUCAGUAACAGUGGCUGCAGUUUGGAUACCCCUGAUCUAGAGAGAGACAGUUUGAUUUAUAUUUUUUAUCAUGAUGUAUUUCACUCAUACUGCACUGAUAUGGCUUUCAAACCCUACGCUAUUUCGCUGAGACUGACUCGACCAGCAGCGCACAUGUGUGCGACUCACAAUAUUGGGCGAUACACAGCAGAACCCCAGUUCUAUUC